GAGACUAAUGGAGGACAUGGAUUGCUGGAGCAGGAGACACAGUGGGAACCUGCUCCACUACUCAAGUACCUCCAGGGGCCCUGAGCCCAGGGGGAACACAGACUCCUUCACAUCUGCUGGCAGACAAGCAGGUGAGAGUUAAGACACUAUAUAUACUCUGCUCCAAUUUCCACGAGGCAGCAGCGUGUGGCUCAUGCACGGGUGGGUAUGCAGAGCUCACUCUCUGGCUUCCGAACGAUUUCAGCACAAACUCAGCUCCUACCUCCCUCUCUUCAAACCAGUCUCUCACCAUACAAUACAGCUAGCUUGUGAAAAAAUGCCUUGUACAGCCAUAAACUAUAGCUAGAGUCUAUAGAUAUUUGUAUUUUAAAUGUCUGGAGAUGCACCCACACUGUGGAAUAAACAAAAUCUAGCUAAUUAAUAGAUACUGUCAACACCUGGCAAGAAUACUUAACUCAAUAUUUUCAGGAACAUCCUAGCCAGUCACCAACUCAGCAACAGCUGUGAAGGCCUGAUCCUUUCAUGCCAACCCCCUACUGCCCAGGCAGCCCAGCCGCUAGCCCCCCACUUACAGAUCAGCUGUGAUCUAUAGAUCUAUAGGUCCAUCAGCCCAGAUGGGACUGAAACCACAUGGCAGUGCCUGCUCUGAUGUCACUCGACCUAACAUCCCUCAGAUUUAACCAUCCUGGUGACAGUCUCAUCACAACUCCUGACACAGUCUCUCUGGCUCAGUGCUCAGCUUAGCCAGUCAGAGGGAUAGAUAAAAUUCAACAGCAUUUAUUAUUUUGUGAAUCAGAUACCACGCCAGUUAUUAAAACGUAACAACUCAAGAAACAGAAUUCUUAUUUUAUAAAGUUAGGUAAAUACAGCAGAAUCUAACAAAAUUUAGC
rnacentral:lncRNA from 1 species